GCGAGUUCAUCUCUCUAUAACCAUUGUGAACGAACAGCUUCGUUGCUUCGGCAGCGCAGACCCAGCUGGCUCCUGGAGCCCCGGGACCGCCUGCCGAAAGAACGCAAACUCUUGUAACCACUGUAUCUCUGAGUCACUUAUUCAAUAAGUUA
rnacentral:misc_RNA from 1 species